rnacentral:rRNA from 1 species
CCCGCUGAACUUAAGCAUAUCAAUAAGCGGAGGAAAAGAAACCAACAGGGAUUACCCUAGUAACGGCGAGUGAAGCGGUAACAGCUCAAAUUUGAAAUCUGGCCUUCACAGGUCCGAGUUGUAAUUUGUAGAGGAUAUUUCGGAUAAGGCUUUGGUUUAAGUUUCUUGGAACAGAACGUCAUAGAGGGUGAGAGUCCCGUCUAGAACCGAUGGCUGCAUCCAUGUGAAAUUCCUUCGACGAGUCGAGUUGUUUGGGAAUGCAGCUCAAAAUGGGUGGUAAAUUUCAUCUAAAGCUAAAUAUUGGCCAGAGACCGAUAGCGCACAAGUAGAGUGAUCGAAAGAUGAAAAGCACUUUGAAAAGAGAGUUAAACAGUAUGUGAAAUUGUUGAAAGGGAAGCGCUUGCAACCAGACUUGUGUUUAACGGUUCCCUCGAUCUUCUGAUCGAGAUAUUCCGUUAUAUCCAGCCCAGCAUCGGUUCAGGUGGUCGGUAAAAGGCUCUGGGAAUGUAUCUACCUUCGGGUCGACUUAUAGCUCAGGGUGUAAUGCGUCCUACCUGGACCGAGGAACGCGCUUUUGCUCGGAUGCUGGCGUAAUGGUUGUAAGCGGCCCGUCUUGAAACACGG